GACGAACGCUGGCGGCGUGCUUAAUACAUGCAAGUCAACUUGACUUCAGAUAGCAAUAUCGAAAAGUAGGGUGGCGCACGGGUGCGUAACGCGUAGGUAAUCUGCCCUGAGGUCUGACAUAACCCGUCGAAAGGCGGGCUAACAUCAGAUGAUAUAUAAUCACGACAUCGUGGAAAUAUCAAAAUCUUCGGAGCCUUGGGAUGAGCCUGCGUCUGAUUAGGUAGUUGGCGGAGUAAUAGCCCACCAAGCCUACGAUCAGUAGCUGGUCUGAGAGGAUGAUCAGCCACACUGGAACUGAGACACGGUCCAGACUCCUACGGGAGGCAGCAGUAAGGAAUAUUGCUCAAUGGGGAAACCCGU
rnacentral:rRNA from 1 species